rnacentral:rRNA from 1 species
AUGGGCGCAAGCCUGAUCUAUCCAUGCCGCGUGUGUGAUGAAGGCCUUAGGGUCGUAAAGCUCUUUCGCCAGAGAUGAUAAUGACAGUAUCUGGUAAAGAAACCCCGGCUAACUCCGUGCCAGCAGCCGCGGUAAUACGGAGGGGGUUAGCGUUGUUCGGAAUUACUGGGCGUAAAGCGUACCUAGGCGGAUCAGAAAGUAUGGGGUGAAAUCCCAGGGCUCAACCCUGGAACUGCCUCCUAAACUCCUGGUCUUGAGUUCGAGAGAGGUGAGUGGAAUUCCAAGUGUAGAGGUGAAAUUCGUAUAUAUUUGGAGGAACACCAGUGGCGAAUGCGGCUCACUGGCUCGAUACUGACGCUGACGUACGAAAGUGUGGGGAGCAAACAGGAUUAGAUACCCUGGUAGUCCACACCG